AUGCAUUUCCCCUCAGGCUCUCAGCAUUAAUCAGCAGCAGUGUGAAUGCAAUAAAAUCAUAAUUGCUUCUUCAAAACUUAUAAUCUAACUUAUAGAACUUUAAGUCAGUUGUAUAGCAAUAUAAUGUCUACUGUCAUGUAGCAUAUCAGCCUCCUUCAUUUGCUUAAAAUUAGGGCAGACUUUGCUUGUUGUAGAAAUUAUUGUCAUUUUCAUUUGCAGCUUUGAGGCUAAAUCCUCUGAUUUAAAUCAGUGUAAUCCCAUUGAAUUUCAAUGAAGCUAUAUUUGUUUACACUAGCUGAGGAUCUGGCCUUUUAACUUUUUUCACUAUGUCUAAUGAUUCAGCAGCAUUACAUUUAAUUAAAAAUAGGUGAAAGCAUCUAGGAUGAUUCUUGCUUUUUUAUGUGCUAGCUUUAUAGUCAUGUUUACAAGCAUCGACAGACGAUUAACCUGUUCUCCAGUCUCUUUAACCAGCUGCUGUAUCUGGAAAAAGGACCAUAUCAUGGAAGGGAAUUAGUAUAAGUGGGAAUUCUGCUAAUUACCAGAUACAGAUUAAUCUGCUAAUUACCAGAUUAUCAGAUCUUUGAUACCAGAAGAGAAGAUAGUUUGUAUUUUGUAGGCUGAAGAUCCUAUAGUAUACAAUAAACUGCCAAUGUCUUAUUCUUUUAUCUGGAAUUAUGAGAUAGCUAUUAGGGUAUAAUCAUGCCCCCGUUGAAGUCGGAGGGAGCUUUUUGCCUUUAAUGGGUGUAGAAUCAGCUCUAAAAGUAGAUUUGUUGAAGCAGAUCUUAUCCCACUCAACCAGUGGCCGAUGAUAUCACAUAGUAUUGUACAGACAGUGGUGGGUGCAGGACUGAUCCACUUGAAGAUAUUAAUGUUAAGAAACCCAGGACCAAGGCUCCUAAGAUCCAAUGAUUGGUGACUCCCUGAGUUCUGCAACAUAAGCACAGACGUAUUGCUCUAAAGAAGCAACGAGCUCAGAAGAACAAGGAGGAAGCAGCAGAAUAAGCUAAGCUUUUGGGCAAGAGAAUGAAGGAGGCCAUGGAAAAACGCCAGGAGCAGAUAGCCAAGAGAAGACAACUGAAGAGCGAUUGUGUAGGGAUAGAGUG